CACCUAUAAUCCCAGCUACUCAGGAGGCUGAGACAGGAGAAUCUGUUGAACCUAGGAAGCAUAGGUUGCAUUGAGCCAAAAUCACACCAUUGCACUCCAGCCUGGGCAACAGAGGUUGGUGGUUCUCCUGCCUGGCCACCACCACCGAACUCUCUCCCCUGGAGGUCUUGAUUCCUUUUACUGGAUUCCUGAGAUUCCUCAAGUUAGGUUUCAACUUUCUCCUGAAUUGCAAUCAUCGUUGCCAUCUAGAUUCCGAUUUCUACAUCUGUCAUUUCCACCAUCGCUGUCUGAUUAAGAACCAUUCCUGAGGAUGUAGUGCCAUUUUUUAGAGAGCUUUCUCCAUGCAGUCUAGAAAAGGAAAAAGUUACAUAUUUAGGAAAUCCCAUCAGACGAAUAGCAGACUUCUCAGCAAACAUUUUACAAGCCAGAAAAGAUUGGGGCCUGCUUUUAGCUUUCUUAAAGAAAAAAGAAAGAAAAGAAAUUGACUUCUCAUGGUUUUGGAGCUUGGGAACUCCGAGAUCAAGGGGCAGGCAUCUGGCAAGGCCCUGUUGCUGUGUCCUUUUAUGGUGGAUGGGCAGAGAGAAGAGAGAGAGGCAAAAGGAUGCCUGGACUAAUUUUUUUAAAUAGGAACCCACUCCCAUGAUGAUGACCUUAAUCCAUUCACGAAGGCAGAGCUCUCUAGGCCUAUUCGUUUUCCAAAGGUCUCACCACUCAGUACUGUUACAACGGUGAUUAAGUUCAAUACAUGCUUUUUGAGGGACACAGUCAAACCAUAACAAUGUAUGUUUAUCGGUCUUUAAUAAAAGGAUGUCUUUUUUUCUGAACCCAUUUUUUGUGAGCCUUAUUAGAUCAUCCUGAGUAUCUGAUUUGAGGAACAAUCACUUUAGCCUCAUUUUUUAAUUACUUGCCUAUUACUUAAUGUAAAAGAUAUAACUAAAUACUUGACUCUGUGCUGUCAAAUGUUAAAUGCUGAUUUUUAAAAAUUUGUAUAAUUCUAUAACUUUUAAAAAGUUCACUGAAGCAAAGCUCUAUUUGUCUCUCACCCUUAUUGUAUAAUAAUCCUAAGCACAUAACUGUGCCCCUUAUUAUAUAAUAAUUCUGUCUAUAUAACUAUCCUGUUAUUACUUAACUGAGAUCACAUUCCCAAUCAUUGUCACAACUCCUGAAUCUUGUUCUAUUUCUUCCACAACCAGCCUAAUUUUACCCCUUCUUCAGUGACAGAAGAGGUCUGUGCCAUGGUUGAACCUAAAUGUAUUUGCCAUUUCAGGUGACAUUUAGUGAUGUAGCUAUACACUUCUCUCACGAAGAAUGGGGAUGGCUAGAUUCUGCUCAAAGGGAUUUAUACAAGGAUGUGAUGGUCCAGAAUUACAAGAUCCUGGUCUCUCUAGGUCUUUCCAUUACUAAGCCAUAUGUGAUCACAUUAUUGGAGGAUGGAAAAGAGCCCUGGAUGAUGGAGGAAAAACUGUCCAAAGGUGUGACUCCAGGUGAGUCAUGGUGAACGAGACAAGGGAAGUUUUUGUUAAAGAUGCUUAUAGUGAGUGUGGAGACGUUUUAGGGAUACUGUCUUCAAAGAUCUCAGAUAUAAAUGAAAAUUGAGGGGUAUUUAGCUUAG